AGAGUUUGAUCAUGGCUCAGAAUCAACGCUGGCGGCGUGCCUAACACAUGCAAGUCGAACGAGAAAGUGGAGCAAUCCAUGAGUAAAGUGGCGCACGGGUGAGUAACACGUGACUAACCUACCCUUGAGUGGGGGAUAACUGAGGGAAACCUUAGCUAAUACCGCAUAAUACCUACGGGUCAAAGGAGCAAUUCGCUCGAGGAGGGGGUCGCGGCCGAUUAGUUAGUUGGCGGGGUAACGGCCCACCAAGACGAUGAUCGGUAUCCGGCCUGAGAGGGCGCACGGACACACUGGAACUGAAACACGGUCCAGACUCCUACGGGAGGCAGCAGUGGGGAAUUUUGCGCAAUGGGGGAAACCCUGACGCAGCAACGCCGCGUGGAGGAUGAAGUCCUUCGGGACGUAAACUCCUUUCGAUCGGGACGAUUAUGACGGUACCGGAAGAAGAAGCCCCGGCUAACUUCGUGCCAGCAGCCGCGGUAAUACGAGGGGGGCGAGCGUUGUUCGGAAUUAUUGGGCGUAAAAGGUGCGUAGGCGGUUUGGUAAGUCUUGUGUGAAAUCUACAGGCUCAACUUGUAGUCUGCACGAGAAACUGCCGGGCUUGAGUAUGGGAGAGGUGAGUGGAAUUCCUGGUGUAGCGGUGAAAUGCGUAGAUAUCAGGAGGAACACCUGUGGCGAAAGCGGCUCACUGGACCAUAACUGACGCUGAUGCACGAAAGCUAGGGGAGCAAACAGGAUUAGAUACCCUAGUAGUCC
rnacentral:rRNA from 1 species